UUCUCACCGCAACCGCGCGAAUCAGGCAUUGAACAAGUUUGAAAAAACUGGCCUGCACAGGCGAGUCUAGGCAAUGGG
rfam:Desulfitobacterium metallireducens DSM 15288, complete genome.